rnacentral:tRNA from 1 species
AAUAAGGUGGCUGAUCAAAGGCAUUAAAUUGUAAAUUUAAUUAUGAUGAAAAUCUCUUAUU